AUUGAACGCUGGCGGCAGGCCUAACACAUGCAAGUCGAACGAGUGGCGGACGGGUGAGUAAUGUCUGGGAAACUGCCUGAUGGAGGGGGAUAACUACUGGAAACGGUAGCUAAUACCGCAUACCAUCGGAUGUGCCCAGAUGGGAUUAGCUAGUAGGUGGGGUAAAGGCUCACCUAGGCGACGAUCCCUAGCUGGGCUGCGAGGAUGACCAGCGAAACGGGAACUGUGACACGGUGCAGACGCCUACGUGAGGAAGCGUUGGGGAAUAUGGGAAAAUGGGCGAAAGCCUGAUGCAGCCAUGCCGCGUGUAUGAAGAAGGCCUUCGGGUUGUAGAGUACUUUCAGCGGGGAGGCGGUACCCGCAGAAGAAGCACCGGCUAACUCCGUGCCAGCAGCCGCGGUAAUAC
rnacentral:rRNA from 1 species